rnacentral:rRNA from 1 species
AGAAUCAACGCUGGCGGCGUGCCUAACACAUGCAAGUCGAACGCGAAAACCCCGAAAGGGAUUAGUAGAGUGGCAAACGGGUGAGUAACGCGUGGGUGACCUGCCUUCGAGCGGGGGAUAACGGUUCCGAAAGGGACGCUAAUACCGCAUAACAUCCUGCCUUUGAACAGGUGGAGAUCAAAGCUGGGGACCGCAAGGCCCGGCACUUGAAGAGGGGCCCGCGUCUGAUUAGCUAGUUGGUGAGGUAACGGCUCACCAAGGCGACGAUCAGUA